rnacentral:rRNA from 1 species
GCCUAACACAUGCAAGUCGCACGGUCAGCAAUGGCAGUGGCGGACGGGUGAGUAACACGUAGGAAUCUAUCCUGGGGUGGGGGACAACAGCGGGAAACUGCUGCUAAUACCGCAUGAUACCUGAGGGUCAAAGGCGCAAGUCGCCUUGGGAGGAGCCUGCGUCUGAUUAGCUUGUUGGUGGGGUAAAGGCCUACCAAGGCGACGAUCAGUAGCUGGUCUGAGAGGAUGAUCAGCCACAUUGGGACUGAGACACGGCCCAAACUCCUACGGGAGGCAGCAGUGGGGAAUAUUGGACAAUGGGGGAAACCCUGAUCCAGCAAUGCCGCGUGUGUGAAGAAGGUCUUCAGAUUGUAAAGCACUUUUGGCAGGGACGAUGAUGACGGUACCUGCAGAAUAAGCCCCGGCUAACUUCGUGCCAGCAGCCGCGGUAAUACGAAGGGGGCUAGCGUUGCUCGGAAUGACUGGGCGUAAAGGGCGCGUAGGCGGCGCGUACAGUCAGAAGUGAAAUUCCUGGGCUCAACCUGGGGACUGCUUUUGAUACGUGCGUGCUUGAGUGAGGAAGAGGGUUGUGGAAUUUCCAGUGUAGAGGUGAAAUUCGUAGAUAUUGGAAAGAACACCGGUGGCGAAGGCGGCAACCUGGUCCUUUACUGACGCUGAGGCGCGAAAGCGUGGGGAGCAAACAGGAUUAGAUACCCUGGUAGUCCACGCUGUAAACGAUGUGUGCUGGAUGUUGGGAAACUUAGUUUUUCAGUGUCGUAGCUAACGCGAUAAGCACACCGCCUGGGGAGUACGGCCGCAAGGUUGAAACUCAAAGGAAUUGACGGGGGCCCGCACAAGCGGUGGAGCAUGUG